CUUCUCCAACCGAAGGUGCAUUAACGCCUGAAAGUCCAACACCACAAGAAACCUCUGAAUCUCAAGUUUCUCAUAGCUCAUCAAUCAAGGGGGAGCAUGGUGAUAUGUCACUUGACUACGAAAGCCAAUCCGAGCCAGAAGAAAUGAUCAAUGUUGAACUAGACCCAACCUUUGAUCCAAACUAUCCUCCUCUUACCAAAUGGACCAGAGAUCAUCCUAUCUCUCAAGUGGUUGGUGAUGUCUCCGAAAAGGUUCUGACCCGAUCACAACUGAAGGCAAAACAGACAUCCUUAUUUUCAAAGGUUGAGUUUUGUAUGUUUAACUCAUUCGUAUCAAAAGUUGAACCGAAGACAGUUAACACUGCUCUCGAUCACUCCGAUUGGGUUCAAGCAAUGCAAGACGAACUGAACAAAUUUGAAAGGAACAAAGUCUGGCGCCUCAUUCCAACUCCUCUAGAUGCCUCGGUUGUUGGUCUCAAAUGGGUCUUUAGGAAUAAAAUGGACAAGGAAGGGAAUGUUAUAAGGAACAAAGCUCGUCUGGUAGUAAAGGGAUAUUGUCAGGAGGAAGGGAUUGAUUAUGAAGAGACUUUCGNUUGUCAGGAGGAAGGGAUUAAUUAUGAAGAAACUUUCGCUCCCGUAGCUAGGCUGGAAUCUGUUAGAAUAGUUCUUGCUUAUGUUGCCCACAAAAACUUUGAAGUUUUCCAAAUGGACGUCAAGUGUGCAUUUCUUAAUGGAGAACUCGAAGAAACCGUGUAUGUGGAGCAACCUCCUGGGUUCGUGAACGAAAAAUAUCCAAAUCAUUGCUACAUUCUGGAUAAAGCUGUGUAUGGCCUCAAACAAGCUCCGAGAGCCUGGUAUGAAACGCUAACUAAAUUCUUAAAGAUGUCUAAAUUCAAACAAGGUUCGGUUGACCCAACCUUCUUUCGCAAAAAGGAAGGUAACCACCUUAUGAUAGUUCAAAUUUAUGUCGAUGACAUCAUCUUUGGCUCUACGAAUCCCAGCCUAACAGCUGAAUUCAGAAAGUUGAUGGAGACUAAAUUUGAAAUGAGCUCAAUGGGUCCUAUUAACUUUUUCCUUGGUUUAAAUAUUAGACAGGGACCCGAAGGCAUCUUUAUCAAUCAGGAAGCUUACACGAAGACUCUCCUAGCAAAGUUUGGUAUGAUGGGAGACUCCAAAGUCAAAGUCCCAAUGGCAUUCGGCACCAAGCUAACUCC
rnacentral:lncRNA from 1 species